rnacentral:piRNA from 1 species
UGCUUGAAACAGCUGUAAAUGAAGGGAAU